rnacentral:rRNA from 1 species
UAAUUGAAGAGUUUGAUCAUGGCUCAGAUUGAACGCUGGCGGCAGGCCUAACACAUGCAAGUCGAGCGAAUGAGGGUAGCUUGCUACCUGAUUUAGCGGCGGACGGGUGAGUAAUGUAUAGGGAGCUGCCCGAUAGAGGGGGAUACCAGUUGGAAACGACUGUUAAUACCGCAUAAUGUCUACGGACCAAAGUGUGGGACCUUCGGGCCACAUA